AGGACUUUGAGAUGCUUUACAUUUGAGAAGAAGGUUCAGCUCAAGUUUAAACAGCAUCUUGACAGGCUUUGAUUUAUCAAAUAUGUCCUUUACAAUUCCCUAUCGAUGGAUCAAUGAAUCAGUCUCUAGAAGAAGGAAUACCACAUGCAUCAGGUUUUUUUGUUUUGUUUUGCUUUUCUAUAUUCAGUUGAUGGGGGUAUGAAGAACCCAAGAUUUUUUUUUUUCAAACAUAGUUAAGACUCGAGGCAGAAUAUUUUUGUUAUGAUAUCAUCAUGUGUUUGGAUGCACAGUGCAUGGCUUGCUUAUCGUUGCCUCUCUACAUCAGCACA